GCAAACUUGGUCAUUUAGAGGAAGUAAAAGUCGUAACAAGGUUUCCGUAGGUGAACCUGCGGAAGGAUCAUUAACAAAGGCUUCAAAGUAGCAAAUACUUGAUGAUACCAAUGUGCAUUCAUUGAAUCCCUUUUGCUUUGGCAGAAUCCUUUCUUUUCCGUGUGGGAAGGAGAGGUAUUCUGCCAGGCGAAAUUCUUUAAAUCUUAUCCUGAUUGACUUGACUGACCAAAUAAAUAAAAUCAAAUACAACUUUCAACAACGGAUCUCUUGGCUCUCGCAUCGAUGAAGAACGCAGC
rnacentral:misc_RNA from 1 species